GAUGAACGCUGGCGGCGUGCCUAAUACAUGCAAGUCGAGCGAACAGACGAGGAGCUUGCUCCUCUGACGUUAGCGGCGGACGGGUGAGUAACACGUGGAUAACCUACCUAUAAGACUGGGAUAACUUCGGGAAACCGGAGCUAAUACCGGAUAAUAUAUUGAACCGCAUGGUUCAAUAGUGAAAGACGGUUUUGCUUUCACUUAUAGAUGGAUCCGCGCCGCAUUAGCUAGUUGGUAAGGUAACGGCUUAACAAGGCUACGAUGCGUAGCCGACCUGAGAGGGUCAUCGGCCAGCCUGGAAGUGAGAAUGGGCCCAGACACCUACGGGGGGCCACAGUAGGGACUCUUACGCAAUGGAGGAGAGGCGGACAGUGCAACACCGCGUGAAUGAUGAAGGUCUUAUGACGGGAGAACUCUGUUAUUAGGGAAGAUCAAAUGUGUAAGUAACUAUGCACGUCUUGACGGUACCUAAUCAGAAAGCCACGGCUAACUCCGUG
rnacentral:rRNA from 1 species